AGUGAACGCUGGCGGUAGGCCUAACACAUGCAAGUCGAACGGCAGCACAGUAAGAGCUUGCUCUUACGGGUGGCGAGUGGCGGACGGGUGAGGAAUACAUCGGAAUCUACUUUUUGGGGGGGGUUAAGGAGGGGAACUUACCGUAAUACCGCAUACGGCCUACGGGUUAAAGCAGGGGGACUUUCGAACUUGCCCGGAUGGAUGAGGCGAUGUCGGAUUAGCUAGUUGGCGGGGUAAAGGCCCACCAAGGCGACGAUCCGUAGCUGGUCUGAGAGGAUGAUCAGCCACACUGGAACUGAGACACGGUCCAGACUCCUACGGGAGGCAGCAGUGGGGAAUAUUGGACAAUGGGCGCAAGCCUGAUCCAGCCAUACCGCGUGGGUGAAGAAGGCCUUCGGGUUGUAAAGCCCUUUUGUUGGGAAAGAAAAGCAGCAGGUUAAUACCCCGCUGUUCUGACGGUACCCAAAGAAUAAGCACCGGCUAACUUCGUG
rnacentral:rRNA from 1 species